rnacentral:rRNA from 1 species
GGCCGGGUUUGUUGGUCGCGCUAUUGGCGUGUACUGACGGCCUGGUCUUUCCUUGUGGGGAACGCAUGUGCACUUCAUUGUGUGUGUGCGGGAUCCACGACUUUUACUUUGAAAAAAUUAGAGUGUUUAAAGCGGGCAUUUGCUUGAAUACAUUAGCAUGGAAUAAUAGAAUAGGACUUUGGUUCUAUUUUGUUGGUUUCUAGGACCGAAGUA